UUUUUUUUUUUUUUGAGAAUUACAAGAGGGUAUCUAAUACUAUAAUCUAAUAAGCAACCCGCACAUAGGCAGAACUACACCACACAAUGGUGGGAAAACAACAUCUAAUAAGCAACCGGCACAUAGGCGGGACCUCUACACCACACAAAAGUGGAAAAACAACCGCACCUCUCACAAAAGAGAGUAUUUGAAUGCCUCAACUUUGUCAUUUGAGCUAGACCUCAUCGGCUCAUUAAAUCUAGUUAUUAUUAACAUUAGUCACAGUUCAUUUUAUACUAUUACAAAGAAUUGAUCAUAAAAAAAAAUUAAUUAUCUAAUUUAUAAGAGAAAACUAUAAACUCAUAUUUCAUUCUGCUUUUCAUUUUAUGCACAUUGUAGUCAUAAAAAAUGUCAUUCCAUUUGUACCUACUUCCAUUCUUUUGUAUCAAUUAUCUCCUAAAAUCUAGCAUCAAGCAAAAAAUAUUACUCCUACUUCUUUAUUAUAUUUCAGAUUCAUAUGUUAUAAGUUUAUCUCGUCACACCAAUAAUUAUAGUUAAAUUCACACUUCUUUUAAAUACAUAAGAUAUAUUAAAUCAAAACAUGAAUGCCACAAAAAUAAAUUAGUCCAAAAUUAUUCAUUAAAAAUGUCGCGAGGAAUAUCGUAAACGAGUCUAACAUUACUAGAACUAAUGCAUGGAGGAGCUAAUAAUCCGAGGAACUUGUGAAAGCUAUUAAUGCGCAUUUCGCAUUCUCUUCUCCCAUUUUCCCGUUUCCGUUUUCCUUUUCCUUCCCACGCUGCCAUAAUUCCUCACAGCUUCACUUUUUUUUUCUUUUUUUUUUCUUUUUUCCCCCAAAAGGGAAUACCACUUUUCUCCGUUUAAGACCAUCUAUAAUCCUGUAAGUGUGAUGGAAGUUCUUAAUUUUUCAUAAUUAUCGAUUACUUUUUCUCUCCUCUCCAUUUACUGAUUUGGGUUUUGCUCUUGAAUGAUAUAUUUCUGGUAGAAGCUUGCUUAAUUAGAUAUGCAUGCAGAAUGCGGGGCAUAUGUUGAAUUUGUUGUAAACCGGUGAUUCAAGCCCUUUUAAUGUAUGCUGUUUCUAUAUAGGCAGAGUAAAUUGUAGAGGUAAAAGCUUUCUUGGACAUUAAUCAUGUUACAUAUUUGUAGUUUAAUCAUCAACUUCCAAUGAAACGCCUUAAUGAUGUUAUGGCUGAAUCAUUUUUACACAUUUGCUUUCUCAUUUAUGCAUCUUGUUCAGAUAUUGAUACCAAUCUAUAUGUGGCAAUGCAGUUUCUGGGGAGAAAUGGUUGGCCAUUUGCUUUUGUGUAUCUUACUGUUUCUAACCAUAGAAGUUAAAGAUGGCGCUAAGCUACCACUUGUUGAAAAGAAAUUCAUGACUCUGAGUGGUAGGAUCAUAUGGUGCAAGCUCACAAAAUUCUCACAGUUUCUCUUCUUUUAGUAGUUUUCUGUUUUUUUUGGGGAAAAAAAGCAAUGCGUGGUUGAAAUGAGCUCGUCUUCCCACGUGCAGGUGGUCAGCCGGAGGUUGUAGCGCUAGGUGGAUACUCGGGAUUCUUCCCUAGUUCAAGCCUGAAUGCUUAUGACUUUGCUCUUGAGAUUAGCAUCCCUGGAACAAUCCAGUAUUGCAACGUGCAUUUUUCAAAGGACAACAUUGGCUUCUGUGUUGCACAAAUAAAUCUUAUGAAUACUACAAGUAUUGAGGAAUUUGAUCCUAAAGGAAUGAAGGAAUACAAAAUAUAUGAACAAGAAGUCCAUGGAUAUUUUGGUCUGGACUACCCUGCCAAAGUGCUAUUUGAUAAUGUGACGGGUAAGUCGAGCAGGAAACUUGGUAGUUUGUGUAGUGUGUGAAAAGACAUUAGUAUUGUUAUAUGUUCUUACCGUGGCUAGCUGUGCUGUUUCAGCUUGUUUGUUGUGCUACUUAGUUGGAUGUUGUGUUCUUUUCCCACAGUUCGCCAAAACAUUUUCACCAGGUCGGGAGUGUAUGACGGUUCUCCAUUGGUCGUACCGUCUCAACUGUUUGAAGACAGGAAAAAGAUACCAGCAAGAGUUUGGUUGAACUUUGAGGUCCCUCUCUUGGAUAAACUACUUGUAGUCCAAUAAUUUAUCAAGUUUCAGCAGAGAAGGAGAUAUUAAGUAUUGAUGAGAGUUAUGGUUUUUUUGUUACUGACUAAAAUGUUGUUUGCAGAAUGACAUGUUCUAUAAGGAGCACAAGAUCAGUGCUGAAACAUUUCUCCUAGAUAUUUUGAAAACAGUGCCGGAGUUCCUCUCAUCACCGGAGAUAGGUUUCUUGAAGUCUAUGGGAUCGAAGGUGGACAAGUCUAAGACGAAAUUCAUCUUCACAUUCCUCGAACCAGAUGAAGUCGAGCCAACUACCCAAAAAUCAUAUGGUUCCCUGAUUAAAGAUCUGGGCGCGAUCAAAUCAUUUGCAUCUGGGAUUGUUGUACCAAAAGAAUAUAUCUGGCCUGUUGAUAAGGCCAAGAGGUUGCAGCCAGCGACAAGCCUCGUGCAAGAUGCUCACAAAGCAGGGCUUUCCGUGUAUGCUUCUAGCUUCGCGAAUGAUAGAUUAUGGAGCUACAAUUUUAGCUAUGAUCCUGUGCUAGAGUACAUACAGUUUACUGAGAAUCCCGAAUUUUCUGUUGAUGGGGUCUUGUCUGAGUUUCCUUCAACUGCUUCAGAAGCAAUUGGUGAGACUGUUUCUGCAUUUGCAGUUGUUGUUUUAGCUGUCUCACAUAAUCUUCCUUUUUCUCAUCACAGCAUGCAUAAAUCUGGACAAGAAGGCUCCCAGGGCUGUACCUAGUAAGAUGAAAUAUAGCUCGGAUUCUUUCCUUUGAUGAAGAAACAUAGUAUAUUAGUAUGAUAUGUAUUCCUUUGUACCACAGAUUUGAUCAUAUCCCACAAUGGUGCUAGUGGAGAUUUCCCCGGCUCGACUGAUUUGGCCUAUGAUAAAGCCAUAGCGGAUGGCGCUGAUCUGAUUGAUUGCUCAGUUCAAAUGUCUAAAGAUGGAAUUGCCUUCUGCUCCGACAGAGCUGACCUUAUGAAAACAACUACUGCAGCAGCUCUUUUCAUUGAUAGGUCUAAAAACAUCAAAGAGAUUCAAUCAGCUGAUGGUGUUUUCUCCUUUGACCUAACGUGGGACGAAAUUCAAACUCUUAAGCGUGAGCCUCUCAUUCAUUCUGCUCUGCUCUCUAGUUACAUAUUCACAUUGAGACUUUCCAUUUUCAGCAAAAAUCGAGAGUUUCUUCCCGGACCAGCCUAGAAAUCCGGCAUUCAAGAACAGCGGCAAGCUUCUGACCCUUCCUGCGUUCUUGGAGCUUGCCAAGACAAUGGCAGUACACGGCAUAUUCAUAUCAAUAAGGGUGAUUUUUUUAGCCUUAACUAACUUCCCUUGCUUGUGUAUCGACGUUUUCUCACACAUUUAACUUGUUCCCUCAGAAUGCUGCAUACCUUGCUGCAAAGAGGGGUCUUGACAUAGUAGGUACAGUCUCCACAGAGCUCAGCCAUUCCAAGUUUGAUAAGCAGACACUCCAGAAGGUUCUAAUCGAAUCAGAUGACACCUCGGUGUUGGAUCAGUUCAAAAGCGUCCCAACUUAUGAGAGAGUGUUGUACCUCAAGGACGCGAUAGGUAGUGUACCGGAUCAAGCAGUGAAGGAGGUGAAGAAGCACGCGGCUUCAGUUCACUUGCGCAGAAGUUCCCUCAUGGUUGCUGAAAACAGCUUCAUCGUCAACUUCACCGAGACCAUCCCAGCCUUCCAUGCUGCUAACGUCUCAGUAUAUGUUGGGAUUCUGAGGAAUGAGUACCAGAACUUGGCCCUCGACUAUCUGGCUGAUCCAUAUGUGGAGCUCGCCACCUUGACCGCCCUACAAGUUGAUGGCUUUGUAACAGAUUAUCCCUACACUGGAGCCCUGUUUGUCAGUGAGUAACUUGUUCUUCACCUCCCUUUUUAACUAGUGGAAACAACCAAGAAAUGAUAUUUUUGUGGUGACCAUGUCAGGAUCAUCUUGCUUAAAUGAAGAAUCUCCUUAUGUUACAAUGCCGGCACAGCCAGGUAUGAUGUUCUCGCAAGACGCAGUAGCUGAACCCCCCGAGCUCAGCCCCAAGGACGUGAUUGAUCCACCACUGCCUCCGGUGGCCAAGCCCUCGCCUCCGGCUGCCGCCUCCACCAAACAAACUUAUAAUUCUUCAACUACUACAUUAAGAGUUAGUGCUCAGAGCCUAUUUUUUGCUGCAGUGGUGGUGCUUCUUACCAUCUAUACAUAGAAUGCCAUUUUUACGCUGAGUUAUGGGAUUUUACAGAAGGGUAACACAACACUGAGAAAUAUACAUACCACAGAAUCAUAUAUAUACACACACACUACCAGAAAUCUGUGGCACAGUGAUCACUGGACUAGCCAGAUUGUUGUGAUGCUUGUUAAGAGAAAUAUUGAUGAUGGUCUUCAAACAGAAAAGAAAUGUAUUAUUCACAUUCAUGGUCUUAAACAAGAGAAAAGUUGUGUAUUUUCUUUCAAAUAUGUGUUAAAAUCUGUGAAGGUAACUUGCAUUCAUUACUAUAGCAUUGAUUAUUUGAUUAAAAUGUUUUUUUUAUUUUUUUUAUAAUUUGUUUUGCAGGUUCUAAACUAAUGUGAAGCAUAUAGUGAAAUAUGAGAUGGAGUCUCAUCCCUCACAAAUUGUACAACCGAAAAAUUAUGAUCGGCAAAAUUUAGGAAGAAAAUGUAUAUGAAUAGUAGUAUAAAUAAGUACAAAUUUGAUCUUCAAUAUUGAAGUUAUUCUUUGCUUUAUAUACGUAUUAUGUUUCGUAAUCAAGUUCACACGACUUUUCUGGAUUUCAUACCUUGCUUAAUUUCCCAUUCCGACUAUUACUUGUUUAUUUUUAAAAAAGGAAUUGAAUUAAAUUGAAAUCAGAAUGAACAUUAUCCCAUGGUCAAACUUCAUUUGAUUAAUGAGGCGAACGAGUAAUGCAUUGACAAGAUCUAAUCCAAAAUUAUAAAAUUUAUUAAGACGAGUAUUUGAAAUAUGUGUUCAGAGAUUAAUUAAUCGAUUAAUUCGAGUUCGGAAUUAUUCUCAACUUAAUAACUUAUACAUCGAUAAAAUGUAAAAUAAUACUAAACUUUUUGACAUAAUUUUUCUCAAUUGUAUGCGAGCAAAGAUUUACUAAUUUGUUUAUUUUGAGAUACACUUUUACAGUAAAGCAGGCAAUAAAGAGGGAAAAUUUUCAGUAUAAAUAGACGGAGAGAGGGGUCGCUAGAAACCCUAAAAUCUCAUUAGUUUAAGUCAGAGGCUGUUGAUUUCGCGCAGCGAGGUUGGGAUUCUUAAGGGUGGUUGCCCCUUUCUGUGCGAAUCACCAACCGAUGAAGUCGAAACUAUGUUUUUAGUUUCAAGAUGAACUUGCAAACAACCCUUAGAUGAUGCUGAUGAUGAUGAUGAUGAUGAUGCUGAUGCUUGUAAUCAUAGCUCUGGCUGUGUUGCAACAUUCCCUUUUCUCCAGACCCUAAAUCCUAAACAGAGGCUGUGAUGAUUUUUAUUCUAAAGAUCAGAUUUCGAGCGAGCCCGUAUCUUGGCGAGGCGGGAUCAGUGUAUCUGUGAGAUGGAUUCUCAUUAGGCAACUGGUUUUCGCAGCCAUGUCGGGUUUUGCCGUUGAUUUCUCUCUGAUGAUAAAAGGCGAAUCUGAGCCUCAAGAUCUGCAAUUUUUUUCUUAUUUUCUUCCCUUUUUUUUUCUGUGUUUAUAAAAUUAAUGUAAAUCUUUUUUUUUCUUUUCUCUUUUUAAACCGAUGAAAUGAAAUGAUAUCUACACACUAGAUCUGUUAAAAAAACAUGGAAAACAGAGCAAGAGAGGGGAAGGAUGAAUUUGCAUCAACUUUGAGAAAAAGCUUCAUUAUUUUGUCAAUAAAACAUAAAUUCAAAUUGACAAGAAAGGGACAAGAAGGAAAAAAGGAGGCUCAGAUGAGUAGAGAGGCAAAAGAGAAGGCGGCGACGCCAUGGCUGCAAAGAUCACCGUUUGCACGCGGAAAAAAGCGCAGCAGUCGGGAUCGUCCCGCCAAGUUGCGGGCCGGGUUUCUCUAAGACCGAUACAUCAACCCAGAAAGAAUAAAGAGAAGAAUUCAUUCAUCACAGCCUCUGUCCAACCACCACACACACACUCAGAGCGCUCGCUUGCAAACAGUGAAAGGGCUGUUUGAUUUGGAGAAAUCAUGGGGUUUGCGGAGGGGCAACCACCCUUUGAGAAUUCCGGCAACCUCGCUGUAACCCUCAUUCUUCCAUUUCUGAGCUCUUCUCCAACUCCAAUAGCUCUUGAUAUUCUUACAUAUUGUCAUUAGCCCAAGUCUCGUAAGGGUACAAUUGUCAUUUCAAUACUUCCCCGAGAGUCGAGCCCAUGUUUGGUUACUGUAACUACAAUGUAAAAUGACGAAACCAACCUCAGCGCCUCCGCCGGUGGGCGUUUGCCCCUUUCUCUCUCUACAUCACCAGAAUCAGACACCCCUUUUUCUCAGUAGUAAUUAAUUGCAACUAUGAGGCUGUGAUGAUCCACUAAUCCUUGUGUGACAAGGAAAAGAUCAGAUCUUGAGCAAGCUUCUGAUGAGCUCGCUCACUGUAAUUUUACCUUUUGCCUCAUCUAAAUCAAGCAACCGAUUUCUGCAGCCAUCUUCUAUCUGGUGAUUACUUGUUAAAUCUGAGCUUCGUAUAGUUUCACUAUUUUAAUUCUUAACAUUUCGAUUUAUAACAAAUACAAACACAUUGAGGAAUUCACCAAAAAAACGAGAGAGAAAGAGAGAGGCUCAGAUCUGUUGAGAUGCAAGCGGGCGAAAGUGACAGCGGCGACCGCCAUGGCUGCGACCAGCUGGUUGCAUCCGGAAAAAACCGCAUGCCAUCCGGGUCGCCCUGCCAAGAUGCGGGCCUGGUUUUCUCUAACCCCGUUUCAUCAGCUCAGAAGGAAUCAAGAAAUAAAUCAUCACAGCCUCGGAAAACAAACACACACACACAUACACAUAGUGUUUGGGAACGAAGGGAGUAUCAUUUCCUGUUUCCAGUUAAAUUGAAGGGCUGUUUGAUUAGGUGAGAGAAAUCACGGGGUUUGCAGAGAGGGGUAACCACCCUUUUGGAAUUCCAGUAUCCUCUCUGUAUCCCUCAUUCUUCCUUACCCGAGCGCAUCUCAUCUGCAUUCUCUGUUUCUCAUUCUCACAAUAUAAUUUGUUUGCUCAGCCUCCUUAUUUGCAAAAGUGAACCCUCAUUCAACCGAUAUUGCGACUUGCCCCCUAGAUGUAGGUCUAUCUCUGUAUGUGCUCCUGACUGUAGUUCCUCCAUCCAUGAAAUAGAAUCCUGUUUCAAGGUGGACAUAAAUUUUAAUAAAAUUGUUAAAAUUAUUAUAAAUAGAAUAAAAUAUAAUUAGUGAGGAUAAUGUUAAUACGGAAAAAUAGAAUAAAAAUACAUUAUUAGUUAAAGAGUGGAAUAAAAAUAUAAUUUAUAAUUAAAUAUAAGAGAAAAUAUAUAAUAUGAUGGUUGGAAAAGUUAAAUAAUUUUUCUUAAGACUCUUUUUCGUGGACAGAGGGAAUAUUUUUUUUAGGCAAAUGUCAUCUUUUAUUAAUUUCAUCUUAUCAUGUCCUUAGGCAAACUCUUAUACUCCCUUUGUCGUGACUCAAAACUUUUCGAUACGAAAAUUAAGAAGAAUGUGUAAAUUGGUUAAAAGUGAUAGAACUUACACUUUUUUAAUGGUUAAAUUUUUCUAUUCAAAUAAGUCACUUGUAAUGGGACGAAGAGAGUACUUUUCCAUCUACAAAAAAAUGUUCCACUUAUUCAUUUUUUUCACCAAAAAUAAUCACAUCUUACUUUUUAAUCUAUCAAAUCUAAUAUUCUUUCCUAUAUUAUUUAAUACUCCAUCCAUCCUAAACGAAAUGUCAUGUUUUCCUUUUUGGGCUGUCCCAAACGAAAUGUCAUAUUUCCUUUUUUGGCAAUACACUCUCUCUCUAUACUUAAUAUUUAAAUAAUUUUCAUCAACCAACUUUAUCUACUUUAUACACAUUUCUUAAUCACCGUGUCGAAAAGAAAUAGGACAUUUCGUUUGAAACGGGGGAGUAAUAUAUCUUUAUUAUUUUUAUUUAAUAAUAUAUAUUUAUUUUAUUUUUUAAUACUAACAUAAUUUCUACAAAUUAUAUUUUUAUUUUAUUUACAACAAUUUUAUUUAAACUCGUUUCAUGUUUAAAGAAAAAUAGUCACAUUUCCCUUUUUAAUCUAUCAAAUCUAAUAUUCUCUUAUAUUUAUUACUCCCUCAGUCCCAUAUAUCAAAUAAUUAAAGAUUAAUUAACUAAUGGAUUCAUCGUCUACCGUCUAUUUAUUUCUAUUUUUACAAAUUUUAAUUUAUUUUUCUCUCCACCAACUCAUUUUAUCUAUGCCUUUUGAGAGAGAACUCAUUUUAUCUAUUAAUUAUAUACUCCCUCCGUCCCGGCUUUUGGUAUCCAGUUGAGAACAGCAUGGGUUUUAAUAAAGUGAUUGAUGUGUUGUGAGUGGAAUAAGGGUCCCACAUUUUAUGUGAGAGUUAAAAUAGUUAAAGUGGAGGAAGAGCCCCACUUACUUUUACCAAAUAUAGAAAUGGAUACUAAAAUAUAGGACGGUCAAAAAAGAAAAAUUGGAUACUAAAAAUUGGGACGGAGGGAGUAUUUCUUAAUUUUCGUGCUCAUAAGUAAUGAGAUAUUUACAAUGAAAUAAAUGAAAUAGAGGAGUAUAAGAGCAUCCACAAUGCUUGCACCCAUAGUGGGUGCAAUACCAUGGGUCCCACUUCUAUUGCACCCACUCCCACAAUGGUAUUGCACUCACUAUGGGUGCAAUAGAUUUUAUUUUAUUUUUGAAUUAGUUUUAUUCUAGUUUCCAUUUUACAAUAAUUAAGAAAUUAAAAUUUCAUUGAAUUAAAAUUCAAAUCCUACAUUGUUAGAAAUAAAAGAAAUACAAGAAAUUAAAAUCCUAAAUUACUUAAAUUAAAACAAACAUAAAAUAAAAAAUCCUAAAAAUCUACGGGAUGUUGUGUCGUUGCUUGAUCUCCGCCACCUUGCACAUGUGAAACGCCAAUUCGUCGGGAUUCAUUUGAGAGGUGUCCCGGCUCAUCAACAUGCUAUCGGCGAGGUCACGUUGAACUUGAGAGAAUGUUUCCAUUGCAUUCACCAUAUUCGCCAUGUACCCGAGAGCUUUUUGGUUAUCCUCCGACGUCUCUUCGGCCUUUUUCUUGCCUUUGCGCUUGUCUCGCUUGGCCGCCUUUUGGCCUUGGGGCCGGGUGGAGAUAGAGGCGUCACUAGAAGUCGUUGUUGGAAGACCGUCGGACCCCUUUGAUCGUUUGUCCGAAUGGACAUCGGAGUGAACAUCCCCGCCGAGACUUGAAAAUUUCUUCGACUCGCGCAAAAUCUUCCAUGCAUGCGAAUACCGGAACGGAACACGGUACUCGGCUAGCCACAUUGCCUCUGCUUGCUCCAGGAUUUGAAUAUCACUCAUGCCUGAUUUCCAUUGAUCAUGGUCAUUUUUUGUGCAUGGCCUCAAACCUCUUCGUAUCCGUUCGACACCCGUUUGAAAGUGUAGAUUUGAUUUGCGUGACGUCGCGUGAAAUAGAUCCUUCGGGCCUUUUUAGCGUUGUACUCGGCGCAGAUGGAGCCCCAAAACUUCGCCCCUUUUUGAUCGGCACCCACCACAGAGUCGUGGGUGUGCUCGCAAUACAAACGGCAAAUUAGCACCGUUUCUGCCGGAUAAUAGUUGCUACGUUUGGAUGCCGCCGGCAUAGAAGCAAUCUCCUCCACGUCGGGCUCGGGCUCGACAACGGCGGCAAAACGGGGGUUCAAAUUGGUGCCCGCCGCUUGAAAGGCAUUGGAUUCUUGCGUGAACGGCGAGAAUCCUUGCCUGGAAGCAUUUGAUUCGCCGGGGGGAUGGAUUUUGAGGAUGUUCACGCCAAUAGUUGCUCCAAUCGCCUUCCAUUGUUAUUUGUUGAAAUAAUUUAGAAGAUGAGGGGAAUGGAUGAAUGAGGAGAAUGGAUGAAUGAUAGAUGAUGAAGAAGAGAAUGAGGUUGUAUAUGUAUAUAUAGAGGGAGUAUAGAAAAUUUAAAAAAAAAAAAAAUAUCAGCAAACGGAAAAAAAAAAACGGUCGAAAAAACGGCUUAGUUUUUUAAUUUUUUUUUUUUUUUUCGGCCAAAAGGGGCGCGUGUUUUACACGCCCCCUCCAUCGCACCCGAAAUACACGAGUGCGUAGCUUCGCCUCCCUCCUUCGCCCCCUCCUUCGCACCCGGGUGCGGCAUCGCUGGUGGGUGCGAUAGGCCGGGUUCGAUCCGGCCAUCGCACCCACCAUUGUUGAUGCUCUAAAUUGUACUAUUAUUUUAUUUUUAAAUUAAUAAUACUAGUAUGUCUUUAUUUAUUUUUUAUAUGAACAUAUUUUUUAUAAAUUAUAUUUUUAUUCUAUCUGCAACAACUUUAUUAAAAUUUGUUUCCAACGUGAUGUGAAAUUUUUUUCGUAAAUAGAGAAAAGAUAUAAAUAGUGUGGUCUAAAGUUCGAACUCAAGUGUUUCCACAUUUUUUAAAAAAAAUCUCAUUAUAUGGUUAAUGAUGGUUUAAUUUUCGAGAAGAAACCUUCUCAAUUUCUAAAGCAAAAAAAAAAAAAAACUUAAAAUCGAUAAAGUGAAACUCCUCACGAAAAAUUAUUAAUUGAGAUACUUUACCUACUGCCGAAUAAGUUUCAAACUUUUUGUAUUUUGUCACUAUUAAGGGUUUUUUGAAUGAAAAAUGUUCUCACUACUGAGGGUAAAUCAAUACUAAAGUUUUACAAUUAGGACAUGUUUGAUAUGCGUUUAUAGGUAGGAUAAAUUAAAUUAAUACAGAUUAGUGUGAUGUUUGAUAUCAUGUUCUAUUAAUAUGGUCAACUCCUACUUAAUCCUACUUCUACAUACUAUUUUGUGGGAAUAACCCACAUGCUAUUUUGUGGGAAUAACCCAUACUAAUAAUCCGGCCUCCCCCUCGGAUAACUUUAAUACUGCGAAGUUGGAUAAAAAUUCUGCUACCCUUCCUCACUCAUAUCGAUGCAAAUGCCCAAGUAAUGGUGGACACACAUAAUAUUUUUAAAAUUAUAUGAGGAUAGUUUUGGUAUUAGAUAAUAUAAUCCAACAUAAUCCUAUGGAUAUCAAACACAAUAUAGGAUUAAGUAACUAUGAUAUCAAACACUCAUGAAAUAAUAUAAAUCCACACUAAUCCACACUAAUUUCUCAAGAUAAUUUUAAUCCUAAUCAAUCCUAAAUUUCUCAAGAUAAUUUUAAUCCUAAUCAAUCCUAAACUGCAAAUCAAACGGCCCCUUAAUAACUAUGCUUCCUGAUUACCACUAAACUUUUUCCACACAUGGCUUGCUUAACGAGUUCUGCGCCCACAACUCGGCAUCAAACAAAGCUAAUGCCAGAAUUUCAAAAUAUUGAACCAAUAUCAAAUUUUGGGUAAAACCUCACCAGAUAGAAAACAACGGACGAAAUCGAACUAGGAGAAAAGACAAAAAUAAAUCAAUACAAAAUGAUAAUAAAAUUUAAGAGAAAUCAACUCAUCUAAUUUGGAGUACCCGGAAAAGGGGGAAGAGAAUAAAAUUAGCUCAUGUAAUUUGAGAGCCAAGGCCCAAUAAUAAUAAAUUAAGGAAGAAGAAGAAGAAGAAGAAGAAAGAGGCUCAGAUCUGGUGUAACAGAGCGGGCAAAGAGAGAUCCGGCCACGCCAUGGCUGCAAGUCACCGGUUGCAUGCAAUGAACAUGCCAUCCGGGUCGCCCCGCCAAGAUACGGGCUGGGCUUUCUCUAAGCCCCAUAGUCAGCUCAGAAGGAAUCGAUACAUCACAGCCCCAUUAAUCGCCAAUUAUAUCUGAUAUAGAUAGAUGCAUAGAUUGAAGAUCAACUGCUUAUAUAAUAUAAUACUCCCUCCGUUUCCCGGUUUCAAGACUGCAGUUGUUCUGAAGCAAAGGGCUGUUGAAUUUGCGAUGAAAUCACUGGGCUUACAGCGAGGGUCAACAACCCUUCAACAAACCCCAAAACUCACUGUAACCCUCAUUCCUCCUUUCUCAGCUGCUAUUGCUUCUUACCUUUUCUUAUUUCACUUUAAAUACAAAUCCGUAUUUUUUGGUGCGCUUCCCUUUCUACCCCUACUAUCAUCGCGCUUUUACGACCUUGUCCUUGUGUGUCGCCAAAAAUUUAAUUCAAUUCU
rnacentral:lncRNA from 1 species